CCUACGGGUGGCAGCAGUGAGGAAUAUUGGUCAAUGGACGAGAGUCUGAACCAGCCAAGUAGCGUGAAGGAUGACUGCCCUAUGGGUUGUAAACUUCUUUUAUAUGGGAAUAAAACGUUCCACGUGUGGGAUUUUGUAUGUACCAUAUGAAUAAGGAUCGGCUAACUCCGUGCCAGCAGCCGCGGUAAUACGGAGGAUCCGAGCGUUAUCCGGAUUUAUUGGGUUUAAAGGGAGCGUAGGUGGAUUGUUAAGUCAGUUGUGAAAGUUUGCGGCUCAACCGUAAAAUUGCAGUUGAAACUGGCAGUCUUGAGUACAGUAGAGGUGGGCGGAAUUCGUGGUGUAGCGGUGAAAUGCUUAGAUAUCACGAAGAACUCCGAUUGCGAAGGCAGUUCACUGGACUGCAACUGACACUGAGGCUCGAAAGUGUGGGUAUCAAACAGGAUUAGAUGCCCUUGUAGUC
rnacentral:rRNA from 1 species